UGCAUGCGAGGCUUGGGAACCACCUAGACGAGCAAAGCUGCAUCACCGCUCGGUUUACAUCCAACAGCCCCAGUAUUGCGAUCAAAGGUUGUGGCGUUCGUAUCCUCUAUGAGCAAGAUAUGACGCAGCUCAUACAAAUCUUAAGCCAGAAAAAUUUGGGAUGCUUGCCUCCAUUUUUUUCACAAGCGGCAGGCAGAAUUGGUCCUCGCGAUAACGCAACUGGCCCACUGGACUUGCAUCACUCCACUGGGAAUAGUUUUUAACUUUUUGUUUCCCUCCGAGUAAAGUUCAAGACUGGUUCACUCGUCAAAGCCAUGGGCACUCGGUGGCAAUGGGCUUACCCUCGGCAUUGGACAGUGAUGAUGAUUGGAUGAGACUUGUUCUAUAUGCUUCUUUUUCAAUCCGCAGGGAUUCAACUACCCUCCUUGAUAAUUGUCAAUUUCGAAUGUGAACAUUACAUGGCUUGGGUGAUAUGAAGUCCUUUCUUGCGACACAAGUAGACAUGAAAUCAAACGGUUUAGUUCUCUUACUCGAGGUGGCUUCUGUUGGAUAGCCUACAUACCUGGUAAGGAAUUGACGGGUAUGCUACAUGCAGUACAGCUACAUUGCAGCUUCAUUUGCGAGUGAUUUUCCAUUUAUUACGAUGGAAUGUGGACUUCAUCAUUUGUACAAGCA